AAAAAAAAUAGUAAGAAAGAAGGAAAGACACAAAGACAGAAAGAAGGAAGGAAAGAAAGCAAGCUGUUUUCCCCUGCCUUGCCCCUGCUCACCUUUGAAUUCUUUUCUGGGCAAAGCCAAGAACCCUCGUGGGCUAAAACCCCGCUUUGGGGCUUAAAGUUUGCAAAAUCCUCCCAUUAAUCUAUUGGGACCAGUUGCCACUUAGGAGCAUUCUUUGAUAACUUUUACAAAACAUCUUUUGUGGUUUUUGAAAUGUUUUCAUUUUGUAGAUCAUUAGCCCUUCUUUUUUGAACUGGAAUACAUUUCACGGGAAUUUUCAAAUUUAAGUCUGUGCAAUGUUACAUAAAAUACCUUUGAUUAUUAAAAGCCAUCUGUUUUGCUAUAACUUCCCUUUUUUGUUCUAAAGUUUGUCUAUUUCUGCUAUUUGUUUUUUUACCAUAGAAAUAUUGAUUUCCUUAAGUUUUCAAAGAACCAAGUUAUUAAUAAUUUCUCUAAGAACUAGUCUCAAGCUUGCUAUACAAUCCUAUGGUUGAUAGACUGUGGCUUUCUUGUUGAUUUCCAUUUGUUGUUCAUUUCCUCCAAUUUUCCUUUUUUAAAAAUUAUAAUUAUUGUUUGGAUUA
rnacentral:lncRNA from 10 species